GAGCAGCGACCUGAGAGGUUCCCAGCUCUGCUUCCAGCUCCUCCAAUCAGAGGCCAGGCAGCUCGAUGUGAGUCCGGGGCUUCAGGAAGGUCAAGACCUCUAGCCGGCUGGGGUAGUAUUGGGACUGGUGGC